CUUACUUUAGAGAAUUGAUGAAG
rnacentral:piRNA from 1 species